rnacentral:rRNA from 1 species
UACGUAGGGUGCAAGCGUUAAUCGGAAUUACUGGGCGUAAAGCGUGCGCAGGCGGUUUUGUAAGACAGGCGUGAAAUCCCCGAGCUCAACUUGGGAAUUGCGCUUGUGACUGCAAGGCUAGAGUGUGUCAGAGGGGGGUAGAAUUCCACGUGUAGCAGUGAAAUGCGUAGAGAUGUGGAGGAAUACCGAUGGCGAAGGCAGCCCCCUGGGACAUGACUGACGCUCAUGCACGAAAGCGUGGGGAGCAAACAGG